rnacentral:rRNA from 1 species
GACAGAGGUCCCGAGCGUUAGGCGGAAUCACUGGGCUUAAAGCGUGUGUAGGCGGAUUUGUAAGUACCUUGUGAAAUCCCACAGCUUAACUGUGGAACUGCUUGGUAUACUGCUUAUCUUGGGCCACUUAGGGGUUACCGGAACAAACGGUGGAGCGGUGAAAUGCGUAGAUAUCGUUUGGAACGCCAAUGGUGAAAACAGGUAACUGGGAGUGUGCUGACGCUGAGACACGAAAGCCAGGGGAGCGAACGGG